rnacentral:miRNA from 1 species
AUGUUUAACAAGUGUCUUU